rfam:Erinaceus europaeus cont1.292643, whole genome shotgun sequence.
UGAUGGUUUCAGAACAGAAACAGAGCAGUGAGACUGUGUGACUGCUUUUCCCCAGUGCCACCAGCUGGGAGUUAAGCUGACUAACAUUUUGAAGGCCCAGCCUGUUUCACUCACAGCAGGCCUGGCAGG